AGUGUCGAAUGCAGCCAAGGAUGAGUUGCCGGUUUUUCCACUUUUCAACUCGAAAUGUAGCCGGCAAGCUGUUCUUGGCUACGCUCAUCUCUCU
rnacentral:pre_miRNA from 1 species